GUAGCGGUCUGUGAAGGCAGCAGUGCCGUGGCGCGUUCAAACCGCGCCAGAGUUUGUUUAAUUUAUUUUUGUUAAAUAUUCAGAAGACCUGCUAUCUGUCAGGAAAUGGGUUGGCGAAGACGAGGAAGGACGCAGACGGACCCAGGAUGAGGUGGAGAAAUAAGUUUAAUGAAGUCCAACAAGAACAUAAAGCCAGGAACCACAGGAAAUGUUUGUACUUGGCGGGGGGACGAGGAAUCGGAGGAAACAGAACUUUGACCAGCCUGAGAGACACAAGGAGACAACGAGACGAUUUUGGGGAAAUACGAAACAUGACGUCACCUACUGUACAAAGCUUCAGGAAACCAAAAGCAGUUUUUCUUUU